GGGUUCCCAAGGCCAAGGAGAGGCCCAGCCCUGGCCCCCCAGGAUGGCAGCCCCACCCAGGGGAGUGUGAGGCCCUUCUAGGCUGACCUCAAAGACACCGCUCUCCCCAGAAUCCAGAGGGACACCUGGAGGGAUAAACAGGUCAGCCUUGGGUCCAG
rnacentral:sRNA from 1 species